GAAAUGCGAUAAGUAAUGUGAAUUGCAGAAUUCAGUGAAUCAUCGAAUCUUUGAAAGCACCUUGCGCUCCUUGGUAUUCCUUGGAGCAUGCCUGUUUGAGUCUCAUGAAAUCUUCAAAGUAAAUCUUUUGUUAACUCAAUUGGUAUCUACUUUGGUAUUGGAGGUCUUUGCAGCUUCACACCUGCUCCUCUUUGUUCAUUAGCUGGAUCUCAGUGUUAUGCUUGGUUCCACUCGGCGUGAUAAGUUAUCUAUCGCUGAGGACACUGUAAAAGGUGGCCAAGGUAAAUGCAGAUGAACCGCUUCUAAUAGUCCAUUGACUUGGACAAUACUUUUAUGAUCUGAUCUCAAAUCAGGUAGGACUACCCGCUGAACUUAAGC
rnacentral:misc_RNA from 1 species